CAGAUUGAAGGCAAGAAGAAUCUCAAAGGAAGAACAUCUUAGAAGAUGGAGUCAAGAAUUUGGGAAAACUGGACAAGAGAACCCUUCCAAGACAUAAGAACUGCAGUUUAAUACGGGAUUGCCUAAGAGAUCAAAAGUCAAAGUGCCAGGCUAAGAAAUAAGAAGAAAUGAAAACUGGGCUAGACCAAGGAGUACAUACACUGCCCCACCAGGAAGGUCCCAGAGCUGCUUAGCUCCAGCCAACUAUUGCCAUGAGGGACAGUGCAACCACAUGUUCCAGGUUUUCAGUAGAAUUUCAAACAUCAAAAAAUUACUGGCCAGAUGUGCUGACAACCUGCAGAAGACUGACAGUAAGGAAAGGGGUUUGAGAAAAAGUGAGGAUAUUUGCAGAUUAAAAAAGCAAAACAACUUCCUAUUUGGGAGAAAAUCUCUGUGGUGAAAAAAAUUGUCUCAGGAGGAUUUCCCAACAUCAUAAUCUUCCUGAACACUGAAUUCUUUAGUUAACUACAGAAAUCAUGUUUUAUGUAAAUAUAAGAUGGGCAGGGAAGGAAAAGUUCUUACAAUAUAUUGCUAAUAA